AAAAUUAAUAAUUAUUGAAAAUAUAUUAAACUAAAAACUGUUUUUUCAAAAGGAAGGCCAUAAAAUUAAUUAUACGUAGUGACAAUCUACAAUCCAUUAGAAGAAGUUAUGUGUUGAAAGAAACUUGAAUGGAUAUAGUUCCUGUUCUGUGAAUCCACAGUAACACUAAUAACCUGGUAUAAAUUUCUUACAGAAGAAAAGAAAUACAAAGGAUCCCAUGGCCAUUCCACAUAUAUACAUAGGAACAAGAUGUAGCGAUCCUCUGAGCAUGUAAGACUUCCAAAGACUCUAAAAUAAAGCCCCAAUUAAUUGCAUAUUGGGCAUUAGGUGGCAAUAUAAGCUUAAUUUAGUGAGACAAAAGAGAAGUUUGAUAAUUUGUGUCAUUUUUAGCAAACAUGAAGAAAUAAAUUAUUUCUCAAGAGUCAUUGGUCAAAAUUGCUAUAAUUUCAGAAGUGAGUGGUAAAGGCUGGCUAAGGGCAGACUAUAAGGAAUCUUUUUGCGUGGAAUAGGCAUCCGACACAUAUUUCAUGAUUGAAUACGAGGAACCAAUGAAGAAAAGCAAAAGUUAUUGAGGUCAAGUUAAACAGUGAUAUCAAAUUUGGGGGAGAAUUGAAACACACACACACACACACACACACAGUUUCCUGGCCCUUCCAGAUCAUAACAAUUCUUGUCCUCUCCAGUUCCAUCCUUCCCAAAUCUUGGACUCCACUCUCCACUGCAGGGUUUGUAGAACUCUUAUGUGUAGAUUCAGCUUCAUCACUCAGUUCUGAGCCAACAUUAUCUGAGUUUGCAAGAGCCCUUUUUGUUUGUUGUUAUCAACCAUGAUCUCUUCUCUACCCGUACAUGGCAUUUUAGGAGGUUCCCUUAGCUUUCCAAGAAUCUGCAUUUUCAUAAGUUCCCCACAUGCUUUGUAUGCACUUUACUAGGGUAACUAGGAGAUUCACAUACACAUUAAAGUUUCAGAAAUGUUGGUGGAGAUGUUGCCGUUAUCCAGAGCAGUGGUUCUCAAAGUGUGAUCCCUGGGCGAGCAGUGUCAGCACGAGCAUCAGC
rnacentral:lncRNA from 10 species